GCACGUCUUUGGGAUGUGGGAGGAAACCGGAGCGCCAGGAGGAAUCCCGCACAGUCACAGGGAAAACGUGCAAACUCCACACAGACAGUUUGAAAUGUCAUGACCAAAUAUGCAAAUUGGAAUCUAAUGUUUUUCAAAGUAUUUGUGAUCUAUUGACCUUUUGCUUACCAAAAUUAUUGACUAAAUUGUAACCAAUUCAUAUUUGUGACUGUCAGUAUUUUCUUUUGCUGACCACUAUUACAUAGGAAAUGUGGUUCAGUGAAUUAUUUUUAUUGUUAAACAAUUGCUUCAGAGAGACUGCACAUACUUCACCUUCCUGGUGAUGCUUGAUUUCCAUCGCUGUACUUUUAUUAUCAGCAGUUGUGGAAUGUUAGAGAUAAAAUAUGAAGAGAUUUCUGAAGUUGGUGAAUGGAAUGAUGUAGCUACACUGUCCUCUAAACCAGAAAAGGUGGAUUUCUGCAUACAAAUGUACAUGUUUAACGCCCAGUUCCAACUGUGUGUGUACAGCAAUGUAUUCUGUCUUUUUAAAAAAACAGCCUCCUUUAACUGUUUGAAGCAUUAUCAUAGAAUGGUAACAAAUAAGAGGCAUUUAGCAGGAGGCAAAUCUUGUUCAAGCAAGUAUCCUAUUGAAAGGAGAGGGUAUGGACAUAUUUGCAAAGUGAUUUUCAGUGCAGUGCUGUGGCAGAUGUACAAUUUGGCUGUGCAUGCAAUACGCUGGGAAUGUUUGAUAUUUGUGUGUCUAAAUAAUUUUUAAUUAAAAUCACUGUUUGGGCAAAUCUUAGUACACAUUGCUUAUUUUCGAAUGAGCCUGACUUCUACUUUUACAAGAUGUAACAUAUAAAUUGUAAAUAAGAAGAAAUCUUGCAGUAUUUUGGAAUUGAAUGAUGAAAGUUGUAUUGUAGAAUGGAUGGAACAGAUAAGUGGAAUUAAUAAAUACAUUUAAAUACAUAA